GGACUACUCGGGUUUCUAAUCCUGUUUGCUCCCCACGCUUUCGUACCUCAGCGUCAACAACGGUCCAGUGAGCCGCCUUCGCCACUGGUGUUCUUCCGAAUAUCUACGAAUUUCACCUCUACACUCGGAAUUCCACUCACCUCUCCCGUGUUCCAGCCACCUAGUUUCAAAGGCAGUUCCAGGGUUGAGCCCUGGGCUUUCACCUCUGACUUGAAUGGCCGCCUACGUACGCUUUACGCCCAGUGAUUCCGAACAACGCUAGCCCCCUCCGUAUUACCGCGGCGGCUGGCAC
rnacentral:misc_RNA from 1 species